AGCUUUUUGUAUCGUUAUAGUUCUGAUCCAUUAGAAUGCUCUAAGGCUCAAUAGGGAAGUCCGGUGUAAUUCCGGCGCGGUCCCGCCACUGUGAUGGCUACGAAAGCCGCAAGCUAAGCCACUGUCCUGUGCUAAGUCGAAGGAUGGGAAGGCGCGGCGAGUAGGUUAAAGCCUAAGCCAGGAGACCUGCCUAGAGUACCUGAACCGG
rnacentral:ncRNA from 1 species